rnacentral:tRNA from 1 species
GAGGGUAGAGCUCAAGGGUAGAGGGUGUGCCUAGCAUGCACGGGGUCCUGGGUUCAAUCCCUGGUACCUCCG